GAACAAAAUGCUGGCGAGCAGCGCUCCUCCUCCUCCCCUUCUCCUCCUCUCUCCAAAGCCCUUUACUUCCUCCUCUUCUUUCUCCGACUCGGCGCCUCCUCGCCCUCCGCUGCUGAUGUGGCUUCUCCUUCGAACACGCCCCUCAAGGGGAGAGGGAUGCGUCGCCGGUGGUGGCUGCGGCGUCUGGCUGCCGCGGCUACUAGCGCAUCCCCAUGGAGACGGCCGGCCCUUACCGCCUGGUCGACAGAGAGACUGGGGAGAAGUUCAUCGUCUGGGAAGGCUCCGAUGACAACAACGAUGCCGACACCCCCAUCCCCUCUGCGGAGGUCCUCUCUUGGAAACCCCCUGUCGCCGACGAUCGACAGGAAAGUGAGCAAUCCUUGUCCUCUCCUCCGCUUGUAACCUUCGUGGAUUACAAUUCCAUUCAUGAGGCAGAAACCCAACCUCACGUUCUAAAGAACGCGGUAAUGAGUUGGUAAAAAACCCAACAUGCGAUUUAAUUUUUCCUUUUGUUGAGACAUACACAUUGUUGAGCUGGUCAUGAUUGGUGAGGACAGGUUGAUGGUUGCUGCUUCUUCAUUAAGGGCUGGUCUUCAUACUAUGAGAUGUUUUAUCCUGAUUCUUUCUUAUCAAUCGUCUCCUAAGGUUGCAGAGGUUUUUUCAUACCACAGGAGUUGAUGUGAGUCGGCUUGCAUUACCGCUCGGUACGCAGUCCAAUAGAAGACCAAUAUAGGCGGUACAUUGGUAUAUCUUUAUAUAUCAUGUGUUUGGUAUCUUUGAUACAACUCAGUACGUAUUGUACCAACAGCUGAUCGGUACACUGGUACGGACCGGUAAGAUGAACCAUAGAUGUGAAUGAAGAGAGUUGCGCCUGCUGGUGGAUCUCUUCGAGGUUUCGGAAGGCUGAAAGGCACAGAAUCUGAAAUCCUUGAUAAAGGAAACCUCCAAAAAUUAUAUGGAAUAUUCUCAAAUUGGAAGUGCCACGAUUGCUGGAGAUUCAUCUUCAAGUGAUGCCAAUCGAAUAGAUUCAUUUGGUUCUGGCAGAGCACAGGGUGACUCUCCUCAGGAUUCAUAUUUGAAGGACAAUUCAGCAGUGAAUGAAGAGAUUGAAGCCACAAAUUCUUUUCGCUUGAAUUCUAGAGAAGAUGAUUAUGCUUCAUUUCUAGACAGAUCUGUUCCAAGGAAUGCUUCCUUCAUGGGAUGGGGAGGUGCUGCUUAGCUGGCCAGUCGAAGCAGCACAGUAAAAUGGCUACUGAUGCUGGAUUUUUUAGCAGGAAAUCUUUCAAAGAUGUCGAUUGCACAGAUGACAUGGUCGGUGCUUUGAGGGGCCUGAUGUUCCUUCGCCCUUCACAUAUUCAGGCAAUGGCAUAUUGACCUAUUAUAGAAGGAAAGACUUGUGUUAUUACUGAUCAGAGUGGAUCUGGUAAGACAUUGGAUUAUCUUGCUCCAACUAUAUAAUGCUUAAGACAGGAAGAGAUACUAGGGCUUGGUAAAGCAUCAUCAAGGAGCCCAAGAGUGAUAAUAUUGGUUCCUACUGCUGAAUUGGCUUCACAGUGGUGCUGAUGGGGAGGAGAAGAAUCCAGAUACUGCUUUGAAAAAUAAGAAAUAUGUUCUUCUGCAGCUUUUAGAAGAAUGGCAGUUCCUAAAACAAUUGUUUUCUGCAAUAAGAUUGAAAUUUGCAGAAAGGUCAAGAAUGUGUUGAAUCUCUCCGGCAGGAAAGGAUCUCAAAUCAAAGUCUUGCCAUUCCAUGCCGCUAUAGCUCAGGAAGUACUCUUAUCAAACAUGAGGGUUUCUUAACUCAUGUUCAAAAGAUUUAAUGUUUGUGAUCUGCACUGACAGAUAACACAAAUGUGGCAAAUAUUGUAUUCAUUGUCUCAAAAUUAUCUAUGUAGCUUGCUUUAGAAAGCAUGAAAAUUAGAAAACACAUCUGAUUUACUAACGCAUGUGACUUGUUUAGUUUCAUAAUCCUCGAAUUCUGGGAGCCUGCUCCAAAUCUAGCAAAGUGUGUAGCGAAAAAGAGUUGCUCAAUAAGCUAUAAUGCUGGUGUUUAGAUAGCAGUUUAGCUGGUUUAACUUUUAUCACAUGUCCUUUACUCUUGUAAGUAAUAUACUGUCAUGGCUUCCGGCUAAUGAACACUUUACCGUAGCUCAUUUGAGUUGUCUUACUUUGAUUGUGGUGAAAUAACCAAUUGCAGGAAAAGGCAUGGCUGACAAACUGAUAUUGCAUGCUGAAUUAGGUAUAAUAGCAUAGUUUUUUUAAGACCAUACACAUUAAUUAAUGAUAUAUUGAAAUCCUUGGUUACAAUUAUCUUCAUCAUGCCCUCUGCCUUUUUCUUUUUUUUUUAUCUUCCUAUGCUUCUGUUGAAUAAAAAAGAAAGAAAACCGAGAAUCUGGGUUCGGUAGGUAAUGACAUGGCAAUUAGUCCUUUUUUCCUCACUGAUAUUGAUGAUCUUUCGACAGGGCAUCACGGGGCAUAGACUUUGCAGGUGUGGACCAUGUGUUACUCUUUGACUUCCCUCGUGACCCUAUCGAGUAUGUCUGUCAUGUUGGAAGGACAGCUCAGGGCGCCGGAGGCAACGGCAUGGCCUACAGACAAAGCAGGUCUCCUUGGCCAGGAGGAUUAUGGAAAGGAACAAGAAAGGCCAUCCAUGCCAUAGCGAGAUGACAAAGAGAAGCUGUCAAGAGCAACACCGUGUACCACCGAAAACCUGAUUGGUUGAGCUGAUUCUUGAACUCGAGAACACCGGCUUUCUUUCUAUCUGCUGGUUGUGGGAUUGGAGAACUACGAGCAAAUAAAGUGGGAGACUCAUCUCCAAGCUGUAUCUUCAUUUCACAGCUUUUCAUUGUCAUGAAAGAUUUUGGCACAUAUCAACCUUAUCUAUUUUACAUUGUUUUUAUCUACACAUCAUGUCUCUGAUCCGAUGGAUCAUUGAAACAUUCCAUAUCCCCACAAGUGUAAAUUAUCAACUACAUCAGCAAGUACUAGGAUCAAAUGGUUCUUGUAUGGACAUCAAGAUCCUCACAAGUGUCAAUUAUCAAUUACAAUCGAUUUACAUUCAAUAUUAUUUGUGAA